rnacentral:rRNA from 1 species
AUACGUAGGGGGCGAGCGUUGUCCGGAAUGACUGGGCGUAAAGGGCGUGUAGGCGGCCGAUUAAGUCUGGAGUGAAAGUCCCGCUUUCAAGGUGGGAAUUGCUUUGGAGACUGGUUGGCUUGAGUGCGGAAGAGGUAAGUGGAAUUCCCAGUGUAGCGGUGAAAUGCGUAGAGAUUGGGAAGAACACCGGUGGCGAAGGCGCCUUUCUGGACUGUGUCUGACGCUCAGAUGCGAAAGCCAGGGUAGCGAACGGGAUUAGAUACCCCGGUAGUCCUGGCCGUAAACGAUGGGUACUAGGUGUGGGGGGUAUCGACUCCUUCCGUGCCGGAGUUAACGCAAUAAGUACCCCGCCUGGGGAGUACGGCCGCAAGGCUUAGACUCAAAUGAAUUGACGGGG